CUAAGAAGUUGGGGGCUUUAUGGGCACUUGUUAUGGACAGGGGUGUGGGAUUUACUUACAGGUUUAGUCCUUUUUUCUGUGCUCUAACUGCAUGCCACAGGCUGGUAGUUUAUGAAGAGUACAUGGUUCUGGAAGGCAUUGCAUGCAAUACAGCAAGCAUAUUUGCUUGGGCAGGUUUUCCUCUUUAUAAAAAGCCACUAACACCAUCAUGGGGAGCCCCACCCUCAUGAUCUCAGCUAACCCCAGUUACCAUGAAUUUUUUUAAGCACCAUGAAUUUAUGGCUUUCAGGAUGCAGUUUCCAACACAGGAGAUUUUGGGGGACACAGAUCAAAGCAUAGCACAGCCCCCUUCCCAUCCAAAACUAUAGGACCCACUGAGCUGACUGGAUGGAGGAUGGAAAUCCUCAGCGUCCCUGACUUUAGGUGCAGCGACUUUCAGAGCCCCCAGCAGUGCUGUCGUCUCUGCUGCUCCGGAGGUGGGAGGAGUUGGAAUGAGACUUUCCUUUUCCUUUCUUGGAGGUGUCCUAUAGGAGCCUGGUGAUUGGCUUCUCUUCAAGAGGAAGGGAGAGAAGAGGCAGCGCACGGUGCAUGGAGGGGCAUUGGAGGCUGCAGCUCCCAAAGCCCUGGGGCUGGGUGUGCUGGGAAGGCGUCCUGAGAGGUGGAGGCACAGCGGCCGUGCGGGGCAGACCAGGAGGGACUGGUCAGGCUGAAGGUGGUGAGGCUCGCUGGGGCGGGGAAAGCAGGUGUCAGGCGCGAGGAAAGUCAGGGCGGCGACUCUUCCUCCCCCUGGCGUCCAAGGUUGGUACUACAGUCAAGUUUAGUCCUGGGUACACGGUGGGCCGCAGCUGCCCUCAGAGAUGCCCUCUUGACUUGGACCCAGCUCGCUGCUCCUUUUGUUUCUCUAACGAGGUCCCUGUCCCGUUUGCGGGAAGGGCAAGGCAUGAACGACUUGAGAACAACCAGGGACAAAGAGCAGCAGUGACAGAACUGCACAGUUAGGGGGCAUCUCUGUUCCCCAGCACAGACCCCUCCAGACCUGCCCGGCCACGGAUGGGCAUCUUAGGGACUCGGGGAAGGCAUUUUUGCAAGAAUGGGAACAGCAAAAAUAGCUGCCUUACCCGGGGCUUGUCCUGUGCCAGGAUGAUGUGCCAGGGGCUGUGCAUGUGGUACCUCAGGACCUGCCAGUGUUCUCCACAUUAUGGAGGAGCCUGGAGCCCAGAGAUGUUAGGGAAUCUGCACAUAGUAACACAGCUGUGAAGAAAAAGUAGCUAGGUGUGGAGAUGCGUGCCUAUAAUCCCAGUUACUCUGGAAGCUGAGGCAGGAGGAUUAUAAAUGUGAGACUUGUCUGGGCAACUUAGUGACAGCCUGUCUCAAAAAAAAAAAAAUUUAAAAGGGGUCAGGAAUGUGGCUCAGUGGUAGAGCACUUGGCUAGCAUGCAUGAGGCCCUGGGCUCAAUCUCCAGCAUGCAGAGAGAGAGACAGAGAGAGAGAGAGAGAGAGAGAGAGAGACAGACAGACAGACAGAGACAGGAAUUCUGCUACAUACCCAUCUGGCCCCAGACUACUGCUCCUGUUGUAGCUCCCACAGUCUCCCUUGGGAAGGUCAUGCUUAAACCAACCAGCAGAUACAUUCAUACAUGCCCCAGUUACCCAUGAAGUCAUCAUGAGUGCCGCCCACCACGUUCCAGCUGCUUCUGGGCACCGGGAGGGAGUGCGAAUCCUGCCCUCCUGGAGUGAGAAACUGCCAUUUGCUGCAGUUGGAACAAGUGUCCCCCAGAGGCCUGUGUGUCCAUGGCCCGUGUGUCCCUGGGAGGUGUGAGACCUUUAGGAGGCAGGACCUUGUUGGAAACCUUCCCAUCAUAAGAGGGUGUGCUCUUAGGGGACACAGUGGGACCCUGGCUCUCAUGAUGCACUGGGUCUCAUCCAAAAGUGAGAGGGCCCACUGACCAUGGCCAAGAUUUCCAACACUCAGCAUAAACCUUCGGCCCUGCCACAGGAGCACCUCAGGAGUGCUGUCCUGGUGAGGGGACUAACACGGUACACGAGUGACUUCCGUGACUGAGGAAAUGAAAGCAGAAGCUUUACUCAUGGCACCGUGAGACUUCAAAACGAUCACCGGGGAGCAACCAGCAGAGCUGGCUGCUUUUCCCGCUUCUCGGUGACACGGCCAGUAACAGCACAAAGCCUGGAGCAAAUAAACAAAACUAACCUACCCUGGC